rnacentral:rRNA from 1 species
AAUCAACGCUGGCGGCGUGCCUAACACAUGCAAGUCGAACGCGAAAGCCCCUUCGGGGGUAAGUAGAGUGGCGUCCGGGUGAGUAACACGUAGGUAAUCUACCUUCGGGUGGGGAAUAACCAGUCGAAAGAUUGGCUAAUACCGCAUAAUGCAGCGGCACCUAAUGGUGAUUAGUUGUUAAAGCGGGGGAUCGUAAGACCUCGCGCCUGAAGAGGAGCCUGCGGCAGAUUAGCUAGUUGGGAGGUAAUGGCUCACCAAGGCUUCGAUCUGUAGCUGGUCUGAGAGGACGGCCAGCCACACUGGCACUGACACACGGGCCCAGACUCCUACGGGGAGGCAGCAGUGGGGAAUUUUGGGCAAUGGGCGAAAGCCUGACCCAGCAACGCCGCGUGAGGGAGGAAAUCCUUCGGGAUGUAAACCUCACAAGCAAGGGAAGAGAGCUCAGGGCC